AUUGAACGCUGGCGGCAGGCUUAACACAUGCAAGUCGAGCGGAGAUGAGGUGCUUGCACCUUAUCUUAGCGGCGGACGGGUGAGUAAUGCUUAGGAAUCUGCCUAUUAGUGGGGGACAACAUUCCGAACGGAAUGCUAAUACCGCAUACGUCCUACGCGAGAAAGCAGGGGAUCUUCGGACCUUGCGCUAAUAGAUGAGCCUAAGUCGGAUUAGCUAGUUGGUGGGGUGAAAGCCUACCAAGGCGACGAUCUGUAGCGGGUCUGAGAGGAUGAUCCGCCACACUGGGACUGAGACACGGCCCAGACUCCUACGGGAGGCAGCAGUGGGGAAUAUUGGACAAUGGGGGGAACCCUGAUCCAGCCAUGCCGCGUGUGUGAAGAAGGCCUUAUGGUUGUAAAGCACUUUAAGCGAGGAGGAGGCUACUGAGACUAAUACUCUUGGAUAGUGGACGUUACUCGCAGAAUAAGCACCGGCUAACUCUGUGCCAGCCGCCGCAGUAACAC
rnacentral:rRNA from 1 species